ACCCUUCUUAUUCCUCAUCCGUCCCCUCCUCCCCCCCUCAUCAUUUCAUCUUCAUUCUUCUACACUCCCAAACCAAAAAACAUCAUCCACAAAAAAUGAAUUUUUUAACCCAAGCUAUGAAUCCCAGAUCAACUAGAACAUGCAACAGAUCUGAUAACUCCGGUGAAGAACGAUGUCGUGAAAAAGGUUGCGAAGGUGUUUGAGGAUCGCCGACAGAAGAACGACGUCGUGAGUAUUAUCAACCACGGCACUGGAUCUGCUGCCGGUGGCAACGAAACCGAUGCGAGUUGCUGCUAUUGUGCAUUUCGAGUCUCAAAAUAUAAUAAUUUAGAUUCACUUUUAGAUCUACACGUUACAACAACAAACAAAGAAAUCUCAAAGUCAUGCGAGGGCAUUAGAUCCGUUAAUGGAUGUGGUUUGGUCGUACUUGUAAAUCUGGAGAAGAAAAAUGAAAAAGAAAAGGGGAGAAGAGAGAGAGAGAAAGGAGAGGCAGAAUGUUAUCGGAAAAAAUGAACGUUGUCGCCGGGAAUCGUCACUGGCGGCUAUGUAUGGUGGUCGAAAUGAGUAAGGCGUCGACGAGGAGGAGCGUGACAGCGAAGAGGUUGUCGAGGUCAUCGGAAGAAGUAGAUGGAAGACCAAGAAGAGAGAGGAUCGGUUUUUUUUUAUAAAAAAAAAAAAAAAUCUAGUGUGGGCAGUUCUAUUUAACCCCAUAUCUAUCUCAAGAUCCUUCGGCUAAAAUAAGUUUCUCACGAUACACACCAUGCAUACCAUGUAGGGGUAUCGCACCCAACAAGCCGUCUUCCAUCCAACCAUUCAGUAGGCCAUCCAGACGUUCUAACAUGUUAUAUAACAAUCAUAUGGUGACAUUGAUAUCGUGAAGAACACUUGAACAUCAUACAACGUCCACUAUGCUGCCACUUCCAUCUCAUUAGUCACCAUAUACACCGAAAUUAUGGUGGAGACAAACUGUACUUCUACGGGCAAAAAUUUACUGCGUAUAAAGUUCAGAAAUACAGAGAUUAGUUAUUUACAUUGAACCGAAGUUAGAUCAUUUAUAGUCC